rnacentral:rRNA from 1 species
GUCCGCAACGAGCGCAACCCCUACUUGUUAGUUGCCAUCAUUCAGUUGGGCACUCUAGCGAGACUGCCGGUAAUAAACCGGAGGAAAGUGGGGAUGACGUCAAAUCAUCAUGCCCCUUAUGACCUGGGCUACACACGUGCUACAAUGGUUGGUACAACGAGUUGCGAGUCGGUGACGGCGAGCUAAUCUACUUAAAGCCAAUCUCAGUUCGGAUUGUAGGCUGCAACUCGCCUACAUGAAGUCGGAAUCGCUAGUAAUCGCGGAUCAGCACGCCGCGGUGAAUAACGUUCCCGGGCCUU